ACAUAAACAGUGUAUGCCGUGACUUCGGUGUGUUCGAAACAGUUCGAUGUUUGAAUGCAUACAAGUACAAAAGUAACCAAGGUAAUAGUGAGAUAAUUUUUUUUAAUUAUACAUCAAAAUAACAGAAUUCUUUCGAUUACCAUAAAUGAUUCAAAAAAAAUUUCAAUACAUGCGAAUAUGACUUAAAUAUCACUUGCAAAACAAAUCCUUUAAUAAGGAUAAUGUUAAAAAUAAAUUAUUCAAAAAAUGCACGUGUUUCAUUAAAUUCGUAACACGACAGAUUGAGUAAUUAAAUAACAAAAUGCUUGAAAUAGUGAAUAAAAAUUAAGUUAGUUGAAUGAUUAUCAAUUACCCUUCCUUAAAUGGAAUCAUAUGAAGCAACAAUAUUUUGCGGUGGCAGAAAAAGGAACUUUAUCAAAGUGUUUGUCAAGUGCCUUAAUUAUUAUGAUAAUGAUCUCCUUAUGGGACGAUUAUCAGUGUGAUUUGUGUUUAUUAUUGAAUGAAAGACAGUGAUCAGCGUGUCAUGGAGGACAGUAGUCAAGUACAUUCUACUCUUCUCGAAGAAACCUUUUACGUUACGUCCAAAAAAAACACUUAUUACAAGGUGAGACUAACAGAAAAGGGUCUCAGCCUAGAGAAAGACAAUAAUGGUGCGACGAAGGUUGAAACGAUCGUUCUAAACGACAUAAUAGGAUGUAGAUGUAUGCGUUCGAAACGUAAAAGCGCGGGAAGCUGUGUUUGUGGGCCAGGUACUUCGAGAUCUCAAUUCAAGCUAGUCGAAUCUGCAGAAGCAUAUCAAUGUUAUGAUGAGUUCGAUACCUCAGCCUAUCUUUAUAUUUAUGCUUAUACAUUGAAGAAAGCACGCAUGAAAGGUGUCAAGAGACGAGAAAGGACGACGAUCACGCUACGGUUCCGCAGUUUUGACAAAUAUGAAGAUAAUCUACGAGAAGCAAGCAGGUGGCGAUUAGCUAUAAAAUGUCUCAUUGUUGGUGUGCCUGUGCCUAAAAGUUUUAUGAGUCCGAGCCAUGAGAAUCUUGAAUCGUUGAUUAGUGCUUGUCCAGGCGAGCAACGAAAGAUACUGGUAUUGCUGAAUCCGAAAUCUGGACCGGGAAGAAGCCGAGAAACGUUCCAGAAAAGAAUCCAUCCGAUUCUAUCGGAAGCGGAGAGGCCUUACGAGGUUCACGUCACCAAGUGUCCCAAUUACGCACGCGAGUUCGUGCAUACGAGGGACAUCUAUCAAUGGAGCGGACUCGUGAUGGUCGGGGGCGACGGAAUAGUAUUCGACGUAGUAAAUGGACUUUUUCAAAGGCCCGAUUGGGAGAAAGCUCUGAAGGAAUUACCCCUUGGCGUGAUACCCUGCGGUUCCGGUAAUGGCUUGGCGAAAUCCAUCGCGUACGCUAAACAAGAACCUUACGAUUACAAUCCUCUCCUUAUCAGUGCAUUAUCCGUGGUAAAAUUCAAGAAAGCUCAGAUGGAUUUAGUGCGCGUUGAAACCAGAAAUCAGAUUCUAUUUUCAUUUUUAUCGGUUGGAUGGGGUUUACUCGCCGACAUUGACAUUGAGAGCGAACGUCUACGCGCAAUAGGCGGCCAGAGAUUCACUGUGUGGACUAUUGCCCGUUUGAUAGGCUUGAGAACGUACAAAGGAAAGGUAUCUUAUUUACCUUGCGAUAAAGUACUGUCCGUGGAAAGUUUAGGUAAUGGGAAUGCCUACAAUGAAUACGCCAAGGAAACGCAGAUAUCGCAUUCAAGGAGCUGCGGCGACGAUUUAGAUCGGUACAGUAAAAUCAGUGAAUCAAAGAGUUUUCACGAUACGCUCGAUGGAGAUCCUGCUAUUUUGGAUGGAUCGUCCGAUAUUUACGAUGAUAACGAAAUAAUAAGCGAAAAUAUUACUCUGGAAACGGAAAUUGAGAGAAGACAAAGGCUAGACAGCUUUUAUUCUGCGACAUCUGCAAAAUCGACUUAUUUUAGUACAGGUUCAAUUUCUAGUUACCAUAGCGUUGACGAACCCGAUAAUGAAAAUAUUGGAAGAAGAAAUAAACAAAUUGAUCCACUUUUUAAUUAUUCAAAAGUAUUGUGUUAAUCGGAAAAUUAUUGAAAAUAUUUAUAAAGUAAUUAUUUCUUAUAAAAUUGAUUUUAUUGGACAUUGUUAUACAAAUUAAAUAAUAAUCUAUGUAUUAUUAAGAUACAAAAGACAGCAACAAUCAAGUUAUGUAUGGUCCCUCAUCGAGGUUACCGGCUCUAACUUCAGAAGUAUCAAGUUCCUGGACACAAAUACAGGGAGAGUUUGUUAUGGUCCAUGCCGCAUAUCAAUCUCAUUUGGGCCAGGAUUAUUUCUUUGCACCUCGUGCCAAAUUGGCGGAUGGUAUUAUUUGGCUCAUGAUAGUGAAAGCCGGAAUUACUCGAGCCAAUUUGCUUCAGUUCCUGUUGGGCUUAAGUAAUGGUUCCCACAUAACGCGUUCUGGUAUCGACAUGAUACCAGUAAAGGCAUUUCGAAUAGAACCA
rnacentral:misc_RNA from 1 species